AAGAUGGUCACUCCUGAAGGAGCAGCAGCAGUUGUGGUGGGAGCAUCGGAAAACCCAGCAGCAGAAAGAGUGGCUGAAGCAUUUGCUAGGGCAGCAGAAAGAACUGCAGUAGCAGAAGUAGCCAAGGUGCUGCAGUCAGCAAUAGCUGAGCUCAAAGGGAAGAGGAAGGACAUGUGGAUAAAGCCAAGGAGCACCACUCAGCAGGAAAAGGAUUGGAUAAAAGAGGGAGAGGUGAAAUGAAAAGGAGAGGUGAUGUUUUGGGUCAUACCUCUUAAGGGCUUGUACCAUCUCUCCUGGAAUGCAAUAGGACUGCCAAUCACAUCUCUUUUGUGACUCACUAUACUGUUAAAAAUAAAUAUAUGGCAGAUUCUGCAUGCAGUAAUGUUGAGCA